rnacentral:rRNA from 1 species
CAGUCGCCACGGGAAUACGAAGGGUGCAAGCGUUAAUCGGAAUUACUGGGCGUAAAGCGUGCGUAGGCGGUUUGUUAAGUCUGUUGUGAAAUCCCCGGGCUCAACCUGGGAAUGGCAAUGGAUACUGGCAAGCUAGAGUGUGUCAGAGGAUGGUGGAAUUCCCGGUGUAGCGGUGAAAUGCGUAGAGAUCGGGAGGAACAUCAGUGGCGAAGGCGGCCAUCUGGGACAACACUGACGCUGAGGCACGAAAGCGUGUGGAGCAAACAGGAUUAGAUACCCCGGUAGUCCCUGUCUCUUAUAC